rnacentral:rRNA from 1 species
GACGAACGCUGGCGGCGUGCUUAACACAUGCAAGUCGUACGGUAAGGCCCUUUCGGGGGUACACGAGUGGCGCACGGGUGCGUAACACGUGAGUAACCUGCCCACAACUUUGGGAUAACGCUAGGAAACUGGUGCUAAUACUGGAUAUGUGCUCCUGCUGCAUGGUGGGGGUUGGAAAGCUCCGGCGGUUGUGGAUGGACUCGCGGCCUAUCAGCUUGUUGGUGGGGUAGUGGCCUACCAAGGCGGCGACGGGUAGCCGGCCUGAGAGGGUGACCGGCCACAUUGGGACUGAGAUACGGCCCAGACUCCUACGGGAGGCAGCAGUGGGGAAUAUUGCACAAUGGGCGCAAGCCUGAUGCAGCAACGCCGCGUGCGGGAUGACGGCCUUCGGGUUGUAAACCGCUUUCAGCAGGGACGAAGCUUUUUGCGACGGUACCUGCAGAAGAAGCACCGGCUAACUACGUG